rnacentral:lncRNA from 1 species
UCUCACUCCACUUCAAAUAUCUCAUUAUCAAAAAUUCUUUUGCUUACACGGUUUCUUUUAUAAGAAACUAGACUCAUUAAGCUUUAAUUUCAUAAUUUAUUCAGCUUCUAAUUCAAUUUCCACAAUUUAUGGUGAUUUUCCAAAAUCACGCUACAGUUGCUGUCCCAAGCAGAUUUAUUACAAAUUUGCUCUUUCACACAUUCCUUGCAUUCAAAUUAUCUAAACAUGUAUAUCAUGUCAUUCAAGAUCGAACUCAUAUAACAUAGGCAUUAAAAUGCUUCACUAUCAGCUUUAGUUCAAU